CCAGACUCCUACGGGAGGCAGCAGUGAGGAAUAUUGGUCAAUGGCCGUAAGGCUGAACCAGCCAAGUAGCGUGAGGGAAGACUGCCCUAUGGGUUGUAAACCUCUUUUAUGCGGGGAUAAAGGUGUCCACGUGUGGAUGUUUGCAGGUACCGCAUGAAUAAGGACCGGCUAAUUCCGUGCCAGCAGCCGCGGUAAUACGGAAGGUCCGGGCGUUAUCCGGAUUUAUUGGGUUUAAAGGGAGCGUAGGCCGGCUUUUAAGUCAGCUGUGAAAGUCCGCGGCUCAACCGUGGAAUUGCAGUUGAAACUGGAGGCCUUGAGUGCACACAGGGAUGCCGGAAUUCAUGGUGUAGCGGUGAAAUGCGUAGAUAUUAGGAGGAACACCAGUGGCGAAGGCGGCUUACUGGACUGUAACUGACGUUGAGGCUCGAAGGCGUGGGGAGCAAACAGGAUUAGAUACCCGAGUAC
rnacentral:rRNA from 1 species